GUAACUUCUUUACUGUGUGGGGUAGAGAGGAGGACUGGUCGGCUGCCAGCCUAGCUCUAGAUUCAGUGAGAGACCUUAUCCCAAGGGAAUGAGGCAGAGAGCAGCAGAGAAAGACACUCAAGGUCCUCCUCUGCUGUGUAUGCCUGCAUGGGUCUGGAGAAAAGAAGUUGUCCAGUGUUUAAUGCAGAGACGUGACCUUCGGGAACUGGUAACUCGGGGCAUAAAGGAGCCAAGGACAAAUGAGCCAGGCAUUCCAGAAUUGACAUCACAGCUGAGGAGCAGCAAGGGACAGAAGGAGGGGGAGGUGUCCCCAAGGCCAGUGAUGGGUUACCCAGGGAAGUUGGAGCUUCUGUGGUCUUGUCUGUCACUGCUGGAAGGGGACAGGAGGAACCGGCUCCAUCCUGCUGUAGUGCCCCAACAGCGCCUCCCAAGGAUGGGAGCAGGAAGAACAGAGACGUGGCCUGCAGGAGUCUGUCCCUGCAACAGAACAGAGGAGAGCAGGGGAGGGUUCCAGAGUCAGACACACGUGACUGUGAGUCAUAGGAAGGCUAACUUGGUGCCCAGCAACCAAGAAAGACCGAAAGACCUUCCCUUGGACUGCCCUGGACCUCCAAGGACUGUGCAAACCAAAAAGAAAAAUCAAUCACUUGCUACAGUUAAGAAAAGGUCCACUCUUGUCAGGAAAAUGCACCCCCCUCCCAGCCACUUUGUAAAGAAAAGCCCCAGGCAGAGGGCCUAUGAGCCACAAGCUUGUUCAGCCCCCCUCUGUCCACAGAGAACACACUGUACUCACUCUCACUCCUAAUACAUCUACACUUUCCUGCUACUCUAUGUCUCAAAUCCUUGUUCCAGACAUGAAGGACCUGGACAUUGUGUCACAGAUGGCCCCUGAGGCCCCCUCCAGUAUCGUUCUGGUAAACACACCGGGACCCAAUAACACAGGUGGGAAGGCAGGGAAAGGUGUCACCUCUGUCCCCAUCUGACCCCAGGCACUACUUACUGUCUCUUAAGUAGUUCCAGGACCAUCUGCCUUAGGACCCAGGGCCAACUGAGCUCGGACAGACACCACCUGCCUGGAAACAAAGUCACACCCAUGAGUAAAGGCUCUGGAGGAGGACCCCAGCAACACCCUUUGGGGUAGCAGAUGGUAAAGAUCUUGGUUUGAUGAUCUGCCUCCACGGCCCCAGAUGGCCCCGGUCAUUUGGCAGCUCACAGGCCCCAGAAUGUGGGCAGGGGGCAGGGAUCUAGACUGGGAUCUGCCUGGAAUACCUCUCUGUGUGCUUUUGGUUUCUAGACCAAAAGACAUUCCCAGGAGGGAGAGCCUUGUUCAACACACAGCCACCCACCUGUGCCUCACCAGGAACAGAGCCAUUCUCCCCCGGGACAGACAGUCUGGCAGGAGUACCACAUGCAUGGGAACAGACACUGAAGAGCACGUGGGGCCGGGCUCUGAGAAGAGAUACCCCUGCCGCGCCCUGAGCCGUCUUUACAAAGACCCUCAGCCAGCCCAGCCUGCAGCAGAGGGAGAGCAGAGGACAUAAGCCAGGUGGAGAUGCAAAUGGAAAGCUGUUGGAGAACUCGACUGUUUUACAUAAGGAGGAGGAAGCCAUGUGGUCACAGAACCUGUUGCUUUAGAGGCCUUUGGGAGAGGGAAAGGAAGGAGGCUGUGACCACCUGUCCUGCAUUCUCCAACAGACAGAAACCCUGGCUCAGCAUCAGCAUGGAUCAAAGCUCUCCUAUGAAGGAGUUCAAGCCCAGCCUAAGUGAACCUAAGUGGAGACCCUGUCUCAAAACCCAAAACAAACAAACAAAAACUUGGUUAUUUUAAGUACAAAACAAGAUAAAGCAUUUUGGAA